rnacentral:misc_RNA from 1 species
UCAAGAUGCUCAAUUUCCCUCUUGUUUCCAUUACCAUUGCUGAAAAGUGCCGAACUACCAGGAAUUGUCUGUGUUUCAACCCUAGAUGCAAGAAAGUCCCCUGAAGACACAUUAUCACGAAUUUGUACUCCUGAACUGAAAGGAAUUUGUGCUGCUUCCAUGGCUGCAAUAAAAUUCUCAGAAUAAGUAUCCCCUUUUGGCGAAAUACUAAAACCCACUUCCUCCUCCCCCUCCUCCUCCUCCUCCUC